CCUACGGGAGGCAGCAGUGAGGAAUAUUGGUCAAUGGACGAGAGUCUGAACCAGCCAAGUAGCGUGAAGGAUGACUGCCCUAUGGGUUGUAAACUUCUUUUAUAUGGGAAUAAAACGUUCCACGUGUGGGAUUUUGUAUGUACCAUAUGAAUAAGGAUCGGCUAACUCCGUGCCAGCAGCCGCGGUAAUACGGAGGAUCCGAGCGUUAUCCGGAUUUAUUGGGUUUAAAGGGGGCGUAGGUGGAUUGUUAAGUCAGUUGUGAAAGUUUGCGGCUCAACCGUAAGAUUGCAGUUGAAACUGGCAGUCUUGAGUACAGUAGAGGUGGGCGGAAUUCGUGGUGUAGCGGUGAAAUGCUUAGAUAUCACGAAGAACUCCGAUUGCGAAGGCAGUUCACUGGACUGCAACUGACACUGAGGCUCGAAAGUGUGGGUAUCAAACAGGAUUAGAUACCCCUGUAGUC
rnacentral:rRNA from 1 species